rnacentral:rRNA from 1 species
UACGUAGGGUGCGAGCGUUGUCCGGAAUUACUGGGCGUAAAGGGCUCGUAGGUGGUUUGUCGCGUCGUCUGUGAAAUUCUGGGGCUUAACUCCGGGCGUGCAGGCGAUACGGGCAUAACUUGAGUGCUGUAGGGGUAACUGGGAUCCCUGGUGUAGCGGUGAAAUGCGCAGAUAUCAGGAGGAACACCGAUGGCGAAGGCAGGUUACUGGGCAGUUACUGACGCUGAGGAGCGAAAGCAUGGGUAGCGAACAGG